AUUGAACGCUGGCGGCAGGCUUAACACAUGCAAGUCGAGCGGAGAUGAGGUGCUUGCACCUUAUCUUAGCGGCGGACGGGUGAGUAAUGCUUAGGAAUCUGCCUGUUAGUGGGGGACAACAUUCCGAAAGGAAUGCUAAUACCGCAUACGCCCUACGGGGGAAAGCAGGGGAUCUUCGGACCUUGCGCUAAUAGAUGAGCCUAAGUCGGAUUCGCUAGUUGGUGGGGUAAAGGCCUACCAAGGCGACGAUCUGUAGCGGGUCUGAGAGGAUGAUCCGCCACACUGGGACUGAGACACGGCCCAGACUCCUACGGGAGGCAGCAGUGGGGAAUAUUGGACAAUGGGCGGAAGCCUGAUCCAGCCAUGCCGCGUGUGUGAAGAAGGCCUUUUGGUCGUAAAGCACUUUAAGCGAGGAGGAGGCUACCUGGAUUAAUACUCUAGGAUAGUGGACGUUACUCGCAGAAUAAGCACCGGCUAACUCUGUGCCAGCAGCCGCCGUAACAC
rnacentral:rRNA from 1 species